AAUGAACGCUGGCGGCAUGCCUAACACAUGCAAGUCGAACGAAGUCUUCGGACUUAGUGGCGCACGGGUGCGUAACGCGUGGGAAUCUGCCCUUGGGUACGGAAUAACUCAGAGAAAUUUGUGCUAAUACCGUAUAAUGUCUUCGGACCAAAGAUUUAUCGCCCAAGGAUGAGCCCGCGUAGGAUUAGGUAGUUGGUGAGGUAAAAGCUCACCAAGCCGACGAUCCUUAGCUGGUCUGAGAGGAUGAUCAGCCACACUGGGACUGAGACACGGCCCAGACUCCUACGGGAGGCAGCAGUGGGGAAUAUUGGACAAUGGGCGCAAGCCUGAUCCAGCAAUGCCGCGUGAGUGAUGAAGGCCUUAGGGUUGUAAAGCUCUUUUACCCGGGAUGAUAAUGACAGUACCGGGAGAAUAAGCUCCGGCUAACUUCGUGCCAGCAGCCGCGGUAAACGUAGCGUG
rnacentral:rRNA from 1 species